GGUUAAGCGACUAAGCGUACACGGUGGAUGCCCUGGCAGUCAGAGGCGAUGAAGGACGUGCUAAUCUGCGAUAAGCGCCGGUAAGGUGAUAUGAACCGUUAUAACCGGCGAUUUCCGAAUGGGGAAACCCAGUGUGACUCGUCACACUAUCAUUAACUGAAUCCAUAGGUUAAUGAGGCGAACCGGGGGAACUGAAACAUCUAAGUACCCCGAGGAAAAGAAAUCAACCGAGAUUCCCCCAGUAGCGGCGAGCGAACGGGGAGGAGCCCAGAGCCUGAAUCAGCAUGUGUGUUAGUGGAAGCGUCUGGAAAGGCGCGCGAUACAGGGUGACAGCCCCGUACACAAAAGCGCAUGUGCUGUGAGCUCGAUGAGUAGGGCGGGACACGUGGUAUCCUGUCUGAAUAUGGGGGGACCAUCCUCCAAGGCUAAAUACUCCUGACUGACCGAUAGUGAACCAGUACCGUGAGGGAAAGGCGAAAAGAACCCCGGCGAGGGGAGUGAAAAAGAACCUGAAACCGUGUACGUACAAGCAGUGGGAGCACCCUUUGGGGUGUGACUGCGUACCUUUUGUAUAAUGGGUCAGCGACUUAUAUUCUGUAGCAAGGUUAACCGAAUAGGGGAGCCGGAGGGAAACCGAGUCUUAAUUGGGCGUUAAGUUGCAGGGUAUAGACCCGAAACCCGGUGAUCUAGCCAUGGGCAGGUUGAAGGUUGGGUAACACUAACUGGAGGACCGAACCGACUAAUGUUGAAAAAUUAGCGGAUGACCUGUGGCUGGGGGUGAAAGGCCAAUCAAACCGGGAGAUAGCUGGUUCUCCCCGAAAGCU
rnacentral:rRNA from 1 species